rnacentral:lncRNA from 1 species
AAAGUUCAGUUUAGGAUUUAAAACCCUAAGGCUGAUUAAAGGAAAAAGUUCAGUUCAGGGUUUAAAACCCUAAUGCUGAUUGCAUGGAAAAGCUUAGCUUAGUUUAGGGUUUAAAACCCUAAUGCUGGCUGAAUGGAAAAAAGUUCAGUUUAGGGUUUAAAACCCUAAUGCUGACUAAAGGAUAAAUUCAGUUUAGGGUUUAAAACCCUAAUGUUGAUUGCAUGGAAAAGCUCAGUUUAGGGUUUAAAACCCUAAUGUUGGCUGAAUGGAAAAAAGUUCAGUUUAGGGUUUAAAACUCUAAUGCCGACUAAAGGAAAAAUUCAGUUUAGGGUUUAAAACCCUAAUGUUGAUUGCAUGGAAAAGCUCAGUUUAGGGUUUAAAACCCUAAUGCUGGCUGAAUGGAUAAAAGUUCAGUUUAGUGUUUAAAACCCUAAUGCUGGCUGAAUGGAAAAAAGUUCAGUUUAGGGUUUAAAACCCUAAUGCUGACUAAAGGAAAAAUUCAGUUUACGGUUUAAAACCCUAAUGCUGAUUGCAUGGAAAAGCUCAAUUUAGGGUUUAAAACCCUAAUGCUGGCUGAAUGGAAAAAAGUUCAGUUUAGGGUUUAAAAUCCUAAUGCUGAUUAAAGUAAAAAUUCAGUUUAGGGUUUAAAACCCUAAUGCUGAUUGCAUGGAAAAGCUCAGUUUAGGGUUUAAAACCCUAAUGCUGGCUGAAUGGAAAAAAGUUCAGUUUAGGGUUUAAAACCCUAAUGCUGAUUAAAGUAAAAAUUCAGUUUACGGUUUAAAACCCUAAUGCUGAUUGCAUGGAAAAGCUCAGUUUAGGGUUUAAAACCCUAAUGCAGAUUGCAUGGAAAAGCUUAGUUUAGGGUUUAAAACCCUAAUGCUGGCUGAAUGGAAAAAAGUUCAGUUUAGGGUUUAAAACCCUAAUGCUGAUUAAAGGAAAAAUUCAGUUUAGGGUUUAAAACCCUAAUGCUGAUUGCAUGGAAAAGCUCAGUUUAGGGUUUAAAACCCUAAUGCUGGCUGAAUGGAAAAAAGUUCAAUUUAGGGUUUAAAACCCUAAUGCUGACUAAAGGAAAAAUUCAGUUUACGGUUUAAAACCCUAAUGCUGAUUGCAUGGAAAAGCUCAGUUUAGGGUUUAAAACCCUAAUGCUGGCUGAAUGGAAAAAAGUUCAGUUUAGGGUUUAAAACCCUAAGGCCGAUUAAAGGAAAAAGUUCAGUUCAGGGUUUAAACCCCUAAUGCUGAUUGCAUGGAAAAGCUCAGUUUAGGGUUUAAAACCCUAAUGCUGGCUGAAUGGAAAAAAGUUCAGUUUAGGGUUUAAAACCCUAAUGCUGACUAAAGGAAAAAUUCAGUUUAGGGUUUAAAACCCUAAUGCUGAUUGCAUGGAAAAGCUCAGUUUAAAGUUUAAAACCCUAAUGCUGGCUGAAUGGAAAAAAUUUCAGUUUAGGUUUAAAACCCUAAUGCUGAUUGCAAUGGAAAAGCUCAGUUUAGGGUUUAAAACCCUAAUGCUGGCUAAAUGGAAAAAAGUUCAGUUUAGGGUUUAAAACCCUAAUGAUGACUAGAGGAAAAAAUUAGUUUAGGGUUUAAAACCCUAAUGCUGAUUGCAUGGAAAAGCUCAGUUUAGGGUUUAAAACCCUAAUGCUGACUGAAUGGAAAAAAGUUCAGUUUAGGGUUUAAAACCCUAAUGCUGACUAAAGGAAAAAUUCAGUUUAGGGUUUAAAACCCUAAUGUUGAUUGCAUGGAAAAGCUCAGUUUAAGGUUUAAAACCCUAAUGCUGGCUGAAUGGAAAAAAGUUCAGUUUAGGGUUUAAAACCCUAAUGCUGACUAAAAGGAAAAUUCAAUUUAGGGUUUAAAACCCUAAUGCUGAUUGCAUGGAAAAGCUCAGUUUAGGGUUUAAAACCCUAAUGCUGGCUGAAAGGAAAAAGUUCAGUUUAGGGUUUAAAACCCUAAUGCUGACUAAAAGGAAAGUUCAGUUUAGGGUUUAAAACCCUACUGCUGACUGAAUGGAAAAAGUUCAGUUUAGGGUUUAAAACCCUAAUGCUGACUAAAGGGAAAAAGUUCAGUUUAGGGUUUAAAACCCUAAUGCUGACUGAAUGGGAAAAGUUCAGUUUAGGGUUUAAAACCCUAAUGCUGAUUGCAUGGAAAAGAUCAGUUUAGGGUUUAAAACCCUAAUGCUGGCUGAAUGGAAAAAGUUCAGUUUAGGGUUUAAAACCCUAAUGCUGACUAAAAGGAAAAUUCAGUUUAGGGUUUAAAACCCUAAUGCUGAUUGCAUGGAAAAGCUCAGUUUAGGGUUUAAAACCCUAAUGCUGGCUGAAAAGAAAAAGUUCAGUUUAGGGUUUAAAACCCUAAUGCUGACUAAAAGGAAAAUUCAGUUUAGGGUUUAAAACCCUAAUGCUGAUUGCAUGGAAAAGCUCAGUUUAGGGUUUAAAACCCUAAUGCUGGCUGAAAGGAAAAAGUUCAGUUUAGGGUUUAAAACCCUAAUGCUGACUAAAAGGAAAUUUCAGUUUAGGGUUUAAAACCCU